CAACCCUCUCCCUUCUGCCAGCACACCGACACACACACCGAAGUGGCGAGCCCAAGCCCUGGGGACAGGUGUAGGGAGAAAAGCAGCCCCAGGCCUCAGACUCGCUUCCCAUACUGGCAUAGAGUGGGGGAUGGCUGGAGGGCGUCUAUAGGUACAGCCCGCUCUGGCUGCUGCCAGGUGGGCCCCUGCGAGGGGUCCUCACCCCUGUCCACCCUGUGCCUGGCUGUCCCUGCACCCAGAUACAGCAACAUGGCCUGUACCCAGCAGAGUGGUGGCACCACCAUGGUUACAGUGGAUGCCCCGAGACUCUGCUUGGUAAGCGUGGCGGAGCAGAAUGGGAGGCUGGACCCUGAGGAAGGGCCCCUCUCCGGGCAUCUGUCUCUUGCCACCUGAGCCCGUGCCUCUCUCUAAAGAGCUGCCUCCCUGCUGCCGAGCCCUGGCCUGGCCACGAGCCGCUACUGCCUCCCACAGGCGGGGCCGCCAAUGGGCAGUGCCCUCAGGCCGAAGCCUCAAUCCCCCAUCCUAGCCAGGCCUAAUCCUCGAAUAGCGGUGGUUGGUUUGUCCUCCCAUAACUGCAGGUGGAUUCCACCUGGGGAACGAGGCUGCGUGUCGGGCGUCUGCUGGCCCUGAGACAUCCAGUCUUCCACACUCAACUGUGGGAUGGGAGGGUGGCGUGGCCUUACCCCAUGGGGCUGUCCAGGCUCUGGCACAGAGCUGUGCUCACAAAAUACUGGGUGGCUUGGUUAGACCUAAUUGUAGUGGAGCCUGCGGGUGAGGGUGAGGGAGGGGGCUGCAGGUCAGGUAAGACCUGGAAGACAGACGUACAGCCUGGAGGGCAGGGGGACUCUAAGGCAAGAAGAUUUACAGUUGGGAAGGAGGCAGUGGCAGAGGGGCGAGGGACAGAGGGGCCCUUAAGUCCAGCGAGGAAAGCUCGGUGUGGGCCUGCUCUCCGCUCCAUUUGGGGUGACUUGGAGCACCUCUUCUCCCAGCUCCCUCUAGCCAUCAGCAGCCUCUUGUCAAGCUUCUGCCUUGCCCCAGUCUAUCCCCAACCCCAAAUCAAGACCACCUUUCUUCACGGUCACUAUUUAUUCUUUGUUCCUUUUUCUUUUUGUAAGAAACAUUCACAAAAACCAGUGCAAAACCA